GUAAGGAAGUGUUUUGUUGUGUUCUGGUACUGUUUGUUGUUUUGUGGUUUCAGCUUUGGUUUAAUAUGGAAUCAUGAGGUGUCCUGGAGGUGAAGUAUUUACACAAGUUUAGCUUGCUGUGCGAGCUCCAGAUUAGAAGGGCAUCCGAGGAGGGCAUGACUGUGGAAUUGUGCCAAUGGCUGCAGGGGUAUUGGAGAAGCCUGUACACAUCACCUUGCAGAUUGUUGGGGAGGUAUAUUCUACUUGGUGUACGAGGUGUGGCUAGAAAAAAACCGGACUAGUACUGGUGAAACAAUAAAACGAAUGCAAUAAGGCUGAAAGUCACAUGACUCUCGCUCCGCCUACUGCUCGAGUUUCAUCUGCCUCCUGCACUCAGUCUGCCCGUGGCGUCUGUUUUAAGUAGUUGACAUUUUGUCUGUGCGUCGGAAAAUGUUGAGUGUACAGAAAGAACAGCGUGUUAACAUCAAAUUUUGUUUCAAACUAGGAAAAUCUGCAAGUGAAACGUUUGUAAUGUUACAACAAGUGUACGGCGAUGAUUGUUUAUCGCGAACACAAGUGUUUGAGUGGUUAAAUGAUUUAAAGAUGGCCGUGAAGACACCAGUGAUGACACUCGCACUGCAGACCAUUGUCAGCAAAAACUGAUGCAAACAUUGAAAAAAUCGGUAAACUUGUUCGACACAUUCCUUGUCAACUCCUGUUAACUCAGACACUGCUCUGAUUGUUUUAACUAGGCUGGUGGCGUGAUUACGUGCAGUGAAGGCUGAGGAGAGAAUGGUGGUGUAUUGCUGUAAAGAGCCUGCAACUGAACAAAUACAUUUGCCUCGGAUGCCAAGGCAAAUACGUUUGCCUCGGAUGCCAAGGCUGUAUGGGAGGGAAUGUUUUACAUGGAAAGGAUGGUAAUUGUCAAAAUAAUUAUUCCAAGGAAAAUGGGAUUUGGAAACAGGUAAACAUAUGACUAUAGCUUUUGCAAGUAUGAGCCUUAACAAACAUAAAUUACACUGUGACAGAGAAGGAGUCACUAGUUAUCACUUGGUGUACACAAAAAUUCCAGACAUUAAUUUAGGGAUCAAAGAUAAUUAUCGAUACUGAUCAUCAGGCAUUAGCCUUCCUGUUGGGAAGUAAACUAUUGCAUAAACAUCUAAUGAGUUAGGCAUUGUCUUUACAAAUAUCCCAAGCAGAAAU